GUUCCGAAAGGUUCUACCUUAUUGUGAUUGUUCUUCCCCCCUCAUUCCGUAAAAAUCCCCCCCGGAAAUGUUAACAGACAGACACAAAUCGAGAUUUUACCUCUAUAUAGGUCGAGUAGAGGAAUGGGCCGAGACAUGUCAAGAUUAGUGUCUCGCAUCAGCGUGGCAGCAAUUACAUUAUUUAAUCUUUGAAAAGUGUUUUGAGGCUACUUUCAAUGUCUAGCUGCUUUUUUUGAUGGGGGAAGAAAAGUAAAGAAGCAUGUUUUUGCGUUUUGCCACAGUCCUGAAUCUGAACAACUUGCUGCGGAUAGUGUCAUCAGAAUUGGAUUAUGAACAAUGAAUACAAACAGUACAUCCUCUGUUAUGUUCAGGUACAUGCAGAUGGUGUCAACAGAAUACAUCCUCCGUAAAGUUCAGGAAAACUUGAAAAAUGGUCCUUGUAAGAUGGUGUUUGUUCGUUACCAAGCAAAUACAACAAUAUAAGUUGGCAACAAGACAUGUUGACAACAAUCAAAAUUACUUCAAUACAAGUUCAUUACAAUAAAAAUUGACAACAAUACAAAUCGUUAUUUACAAUUAAAGUGUUUGUUCGUAUUAUGAAAGAAGUAUAUUGUGAAUUAAAAAAGUUGAAAUUUA